rnacentral:sRNA from 1 species
GCCAGGCAUGGUGGCCCAUGCCUGUAAUCCCAGUGGCUCUGGAGGCUGAAACAGAAGGAUGGCAAGUUCAAGACCAGCCUCAGUAAUUU